GAUGAACGCUGGCGGCGUGCUUAACACAUGCAAGUCGAACGAAGCACUUUUGAUUCUUCGGAAGAGAAAGUGACUGAGUGGCGGACGGGUGAGUAACGCGUGGGUAACCUGCCUUAUACAGGGGGAUAACAGUUGGAAACGACUGCUAAUACCGCAUAAGCCGACAGGGCCGCAUGGCCUAGUUGGAAAAGAUUUAUCGGUAUAAGAUGGACCCGCGUCUGAUUAGCUAGUUGGUGGGGUAAUGGCCUACCAAGGCGACGAUCAGUAGCCGGCUUGAGAGAGUGAACGGCCACAUUGGGACUGAGACACGGCCCAAACUCCUACGGGAGGCAG
rnacentral:rRNA from 1 species